rnacentral:rRNA from 1 species
AACGAACGCUGGCGGCAUGCCUAACACAUGCAAGUCGAACGAUGCCUUCGGGCAUAGUGGCGCACGGGUGCGUAACGCGUGGGAAUCUGCCUUUCGGUUCGGAAUAACUCAGGGAAACUUGAGCUAAUACCGGAUAACGUCGCAAGACCAAAGAUUUAUCACCGAAAGAUGAGCCCGCGUAGGAUUAGCUAGUUGGUGAGGUAAAGGCUCACCAAGGCGACGAUCCUUAGCUGGUCUGAGAGGAUGAUCAGCCACACUGGGACUGAGACACGACCCAGACUCCUACGGGAGGCAGCAGUGGGGAAUAUUGGACAAUGGGCGAAAGCCUGAUCCAGCAAUGCCGCGUGAGUGAUGAAGGCCUUAGGGUUGUAAAGCUCUUUUACCCGGGAAGAUAAUGACGGUACCGGGAGAAUAAGCCCCGGCUAACUCCGUG